rnacentral:rRNA from 1 species
UACGGAGGGUGCAAGCGUUGUCCGGAUUUAUUGGGUUUAAAGGGUGCGUAGGCGGUUAAUUAAGUCAGUGGUGAAAUCCUGGAGCUCAACUUCAGAACUGCCAUUGAUACUGGUUGACUUGAGUACAGACGAGGUUGGCGGAAUUGAUGGUGUAGCGGUGAAAUGCAUAGAUACCAUCAAGAACACCGAUUGCGAAGGCAGCUAACUAGGCUGUAAAUGACGCUGAGGCACGAAAGUGUGGGGAUCAAACAGG